AUUUUCUAAAUGUUUUUUAUUACACCUUAUAGCUUUUAGAUCUGGAAAAAGAUGUCAACAUAUUUAAAAAAUGAUACAAACUUGAGACUCUGUAGUACAGUGAUUUUCAUAUUCGUAUAGCUACCUUGCAGUAAAAAAUAUUGCUGUUAGAUUCUCAAUUUUGCUAUUUUUUAACCACUGUUUGUGAUACACCUAUUAGGAAUGAUUGUGUAUAAGAAAAUAUUGAACAAUUUUU